GAUGAACGCUGGCGGCGUGCCUAAUACAUGCAAGUCGAGCGAACAGACGAGGCGCUUGCGCCUCUGACGUUAGCGGCGGGCGUGUGAGAAACACGUGUAUCCCCUACCUAUAAGACUGGGAUAACUUGGGGACACCGGCGCUAAUACGGGAUAAGAUAUUGCACCGCGGUGGUCAAUGGAGAGAUUCGGCUUUUGGGGCAGUAAUCGAGGGAUCCGCGCCGGAUUAGCUAGUUGGUAAGUUAACAGCUUUCCAAGGCAAGGAGGCGUGGGCGACCUGAGGGGGUGGUCGGCCACCCUGGAACUGAGACACGGUCCAGACUCCUACGGGAGGCAGCAGUAGGGAAUCUGACGCAAUAGGCGAAAGCUUGACGGAGCAACGCCGAGUGAGUGAUGAAGGCCUUCGGAGCGUAAAACUCUGUUAUGAGGGAAGAACAAAUGUGUAAGUAACUAUGCACGGCUUGACGGUACCGAAUCAGAAAGCCCCGGCUAACUACGUG
rnacentral:rRNA from 1 species